GGCCGGAUAAGGCGUUUCCGCCGCCAUCCGGCAUUGGCGCCACAUGAUUGCCGGAUGGCGACGCUACCGCAUCUUAUCCGGCC
rfam:Salmonella enterica subsp. enterica serovar Typhimurium str. LT2, complete genome.